rnacentral:snoRNA from 1 species
UUUAUUACUUGAACAAGAACUGUCCUAUAGGCUCAAACCACUUUAUCCUUGAGUUCAAACGAGAUACAAAAUCGAGUUGAACCAUGACAAGCAUAUUUAACUAGUGUGUGAUUGAUAAUCACCACCGCCCACCAGAUUAUGGAGUCAUAGAGAAUCGUUCAAAGCCUAAUCCAUCGGGUUGUGAUGGUCGUAUGGUUGUCUGAUAGACU